rnacentral:tRNA from 1 species
UCCAGGGUAGCCUAGUGGACAUGGCAUCCGCCCGGUAAGCGGAACACUGUGGGUUCGAUUCCCAUCCCUGGAC